CGGGGCUGUCAGGCCACUGACCUAAGGAGCAGAGAAAUAAAUAACAACGGUCCUGAUCCUUCCUGGACCACCCUGAUACACAGGCCCCAUUCAUUCCGAGCUGUCCUUUCUCAUGGAAAUGAGGCUGAACUCUGGAAGCAGAUCUACCUCCUUUAUUACUGUUUGGCUGCAACGGCCCAGACCCCUGGAUGUACAUGAAGAGAAAGAGUGCAGACUGAGGAGAAGCUCCGUCAUGCAGGCCACAGCACAGCUUUCCUCUCUGGGCUGCAUUCCAGCUCCGGAGGAACAACCAAAUAUCAGGGAGGGAUUGCAACAGUGCCUACACGAAUGCUGUGCGGGCUAGGGAGAGAGAAAGGGAGGGGGUGUAAUUUAACAUGACACUGCCCGCGCCAGACAGCAUCUGUAGCAGCACUUUACUUCCAGCAUUCCAGGAGAGAUGCAAAAAAAAAAAAAAGCACCUUCUAGAAUCUUGAUCGAGGCGGUGCCACAUCCUCCAGCAUCGGGAGAAGGUCUGGAGAACAAAGAAUGGCAAUAAAAAGGCAUCGAGCAUCCUCACCCUGCGUGCUCCCACCAAAACACGUCGAGCUUCUGUCUUUGAAGUGCCUCAGAUGUUUCUUUGACUUUGCCAAUUUUGUUAAUUGCUUUCACAUUUAAGCCGCUGGUGAUGGAGCACAGGCAGCGGAAAGGUCUGGCUGACAUUCUGAUAAAAGAGGGAGCACAGACACGAACACACAUCAUCCAGCAUUGGCAAGCGCUCAGUCAGUCCCACUCUCACUGGGGUUUCUUCUCCCCCUUGCCUUUCGUUUCAGUCGAGAAUCUAAAUCGUGCCCAGUCACACAUGAUGAUCUGAUUUCACUCCUCUGGGGUUUGGCUCCAGGAAUCUCUCUUGCCCGUGCAGGUGCAGUCUGUGUCUUCUGCUGCUUCCACAGAAACCCACACAUAACAGC